rnacentral:rRNA from 1 species
AUUGAACGCUGGCGGAAGGCCUAACACAUGCAAGUCGAACGAGUGGCGGACGGGUGAGUAAUGUCUGGGAAACUGCCCGAUGGAGGGGGAUAACUACUGGAAACGGUAGCUAAUACCGCAUACCAUCGGAUGUGCCCAGAUGGGAUUGGCUUGUAGGUGAGGUAACGGCUCACCUAGGCGACGAUCCCUAGCUGGUCUGAGAGGAGGACCAGACAGAUGGGAAAGGUGACACGUGCCAGACGCGAAGGUGAGGCAGCAGGGGGGAAGAUGGGACAAUGGUCGCAAGCCUGAUGCAGCCAGGCCGCGUGUAGGAAGAAGGCAUUAGGGGUGUAAAGUCCUUUCAGCGGGGAGGCGGUACCCGCAGAAGAAGCACCGGCUAACUCCUUGCCAGCAGCCGCGGUAAUUC